rnacentral:rRNA from 1 species
AUACGGAGGGCGCAAGCGUUGCUCGGAAUCACUGGGUGUAAAGGGUGCGUAGGCGGGGCUGUAAGUCAGAGGUGAAAGCCCUCGGCUCAACCGGGGAAUUGCCUCUGAUACUGCAGCUCUUGAGUCCCGGAGAGGCCGCUGGAAUUCCUGGUGUAGCGGUGAAAUGCGUAGAUAUCAGGAGGAACACCGGAGGCGAAGGCGGGCGGCUGGACGGGGACUGACGCUGAGGCACGAAAGCGUGGGGAGCAAACAGGAUUAGAAACCCUAGUAGUCC